rnacentral:rRNA from 1 species
AUUGAACGCUGGCGGCAGGCUUAACACAUGCAAGUCGAGCGAGCGGCGGACGGGUGAGUAAUGUCUGGGAAACUGCCUGAUGGAGGGGGAUAACUACUGGAAACGGUAGCUAAUACCGCAUACCAUCAGAUGUGCCCAGAUGGGAUUAGCUAGUAGGUGGGGUAAUGGCGCACCUAGGCGCCGAUCCCUAGCUGGUCUGAGAGGAUGACCAGCCACUCUGGAACUGAGACACGGUCCAGACUCCUACGUGAGGCGGCAGUGGGGAAGAUUGCACAAGGGGCGAAAGCCUGAUGCGGCCAUGCCGGUGGUGUGAAGAAGGCCUUCGGGUUGUAAAGCACUUUCAGCGAGGAGGCGUUACUCGCAGAAGAAGGACCGGCUAACUCCGUGCCAGCAGCCGCGGUAAUAC